UGCAGUCGAACGAACUCUGGUAUUGAUUGGUGCUUGCAUCAUGAUUUACAUUUGAGUGAGUGGCGAACUGGUGAGUAACACGUGGGAAACCUGCCCAGAAGCGGGGGAUAACACCUGGAAACAGAUGCUAAUACCGCAUAACAACUUGGACCGCAUGGUCCGAGUUUGAAAGAUGGCUUCGGCUAUCACUUUUGGAUGGUCCCGCGGCGUAUUAGCUAGAUGGUGGGGUAACGGCUCACCAUGGCAAUGAUACGUAGCCGACCUGAGAGGGUAAUCGGCCACAUUGGGACUGAGACACGGCCCAAACUCCUACGGGAGGCAGCAGUAGGGAAUCUUCCACAAUGGACGAAAGUCUGAUGGAGCAACGCCGCGUGAGUGAAGAAGGGUUUCGGCUCGUAAAACUCUGUUGUUAAAGAAGAACAUAUCUGAGAGUAACUGUUCAGGUAUUGACGGUAUUUAACCAGAAAGCCACGGCUAACUACGUGCCAGCAGCCGCGGUAAUACGUAGGUGGCAAGCGUUGUCCGGAUUUAUUGGGCGUAAAGCGAGCGCAGGCGGUUUUUUAAGUCUGAUGUGAAAGCCUUCGGCUCAACCGAAGAAGUGCAUCGGAAACUGGGAAACUUGAGUGCAGAAGAGGACAGUGGAACUCCAUGUGUAGCGGUGAAAUGCGUAGAUAUAUGGAAGAACACCAGUGGCGAAGGCGGCUGUCUGGUCUGUAACUGACGCUGAGGCUCGAAAGUAUGGGUAGCAACAGGAUUAGAUACCCUGGUAGUCCAUACCGUAAACGAUGAAUGCUAAGUGUUGGAGGGUUUCCGCCCUUCAGUGCUGCAGCUAACGCAUUAAGCAUUCCGCCUGGGGGAGUACGGCCGCA
rnacentral:rRNA from 2 species